UUUAACUGAGCGUUCAGUUACUUGACGUAGACCCGAAACCGGGCGACCUACCCAUGAGCAGGAUGAAGCGAAAGUAAAAUUUCGUGGAGGUCCGAACCCACGAGCGUUGAAAAGCUCGGGGAUGACUUGUGGGUAGCGGUGAAAUUCCAAUCGAGCCCGGAGAUAGCUGGUUCUCCCCGAAAUAGCUUUAGGGCUAGCCUCAAGGUGAGAGAUACGGAGGUAGAGCACUGAAUGUCCUAGGGGGUAUUGCACCUACCGAAGACUAUCAAACUCCGAAUGCCGUCAUCUUAUACUUGGGAGUCAGACUGUGGGUGAUAAGAUUCAUAGUCGAAAGGGCAACAGCCCAGAUCGUCAGCUAAGGUCCCUAAAUGUAAGUUAAGUGGUAAAGGAUGUGGGAUUGCACAGACAACCAGGAUGUUGGCUUAGAAGCAGCCACUCAUUCAAAGAGUGCGUA
rnacentral:rRNA from 1 species